rnacentral:rRNA from 1 species
UACGUAGGGUGCGAGCGUUGUCCGGAAUUAUUGGGCGUAAAGAGCUCGUAGGCGGUGUGUCGCGUCGGUCGUGAAAACUUGGGGCUUAACCCUGAGCUUGCGGUCGAUACGGGCAUCACUGGAGUUCGGCAGGGGAGACUGGAAUUCCUGGUGUAGCGGUGAAAUGCGCAGAUAUCAGGAGGAACACCGGUGGCGAAGGCGGGUCUCUGGGCCGAUACUGACGCUGAGGUGCGAAAGCGUGGGGAGCAAACAGG